rnacentral:rRNA from 1 species
AUUUUCUGCCACCGAAUACAUUAGCAUGGGAUAAUGGAAUAGGACCCUGUCCUCCUAUUUUCAGUUGGUUUUGGCAGCGCGAGGACUAGGGUAAUGAUUAAUAGGGAUAGUUGGGGGCAUUAAUAUUUAAUUGUCAGAGGUGAAAUUCUUGGAUUUAUGAAAGAUUAACUUCUGCGAAAGCAUCUGCCAAGGAUGUUUUCAUUAAUCAAGAACGAAAGUUAGGGGAUCGAAGACGAUCAGAUACCGUCGUAGUCUUAACCAUAAACGAUGCCGACCAGCGAUUAGGAGACGUUGAAUACAAAACACCACCAUCGGCGCGGUCGUCCUUGGCGUCUGUCCCUUUCAACGGGGGCAGGCGCGAGGGCGGUUUAGCCCGGUGGCACCGGUGAAUGACUCCCCUAGC